UACGGGGGGGGCAAGCGUUGUUCGGAAUUACUGGGCGUAAAGGGCUCGUAGGUGGCCAACUAAGUCGGACGUGAAAUCCCUCGGCUUAACCUGGGAACUGCAUCCGAUACUGGAUGGCUUGAAUCCGGGAGAGGGAUGCAGAAUUCCAGGUGUAGCGGUGAAAUGCGUAGAUAUCUGGAGGAAUACCGGUGGCGAAGGCGGCAUCCUGGACCGGCAUUGACGCUGAGUGAGCGAAAGCCAGGGGAGCAAACGGG
rnacentral:rRNA from 1 species